rnacentral:rRNA from 1 species
UAGGGAAUCUUCCGCAAUGGGCGAAAGCUUGACGGAGCAACGCCGCGUGAGUGAUGAAGGUCUUCGGAUCGUAAAACUCUGUUAUUAGGGAUGAACAAAUGUGUAAGUAACUAUGCACGUCUUGACGGUACCUAAUCAGAAAGCCACGGCUAACUACGUGCCAGCAGCCGCGGUAAUACGUAGGUGGCAAGCGUUAUCCGGAAUUAUUGGGCGUAAAGCGCGCGUAGGCGGUUUUUUAAGUCUGAUGUGAAAGCCCACGGCUCAACCGUGGAGGGUCAUUGGAAACUGGAAAACUUGAGUGCAGAAGAGGAAAGUGGAAUUCCAUGUGUAGCGGUGAAAUGCGCAGGGAUAUGGAGGAACACCAGUGGCGAAGGCGACUUUCUGGUCUGUAACUGACGCUGAUGUGCGAAAGCGGGGGGAUCAAACAGG